GACACGAUGGCGGCGAUGGCGGCGGCUCUGCGGGGGCCCGGCCGGCGCUUCCGGUGGCGGACGCAGGCCUUGGCGGGAGGGGUGCGGGGUGCGGCUCGGGGCGUGGCAGCAGGACAACAGGACUAUGAUCUCCUGGUGAUUGGUGGGGGAUCUGGUGGCUUGGCUUGUGCCAAAGAAGCUGCUCAACUGGGAAGGAAGGUGGCUGUAGUCGACUAUGUGGAGCCCUCUCCCCAAGGCACCAAGUGGGGCCUUGGCGGCACCUGUGUGAAUGUGGGCUGCAUCCCCAAGAAGCUGAUGCAUCAGGCGGCACUGCUUGGGGGCAUGAUCCAGGAUGCCCACCACUAUGGCUGGGAGGUGGCUCAACCCAUCCGGCAUGACUGGAGGAAAAUGGCAGAAGCUGUGCAAAACCAUGUGAAGUCCCUGAACUGGGGGCACCGUGUCCAACUGCAGGACAGAAAAGUCAAGUACUUUAACAUCAAAGCCAGCUUCAUCAAUAAGCACACUGUUUGUGGCAUCGCAAAAAGUGGGAAAGAGACUCUGCUUUCAGCUGACCACAUCGUCAUUGCUACUGGAGGACGGCCGAGGUACCCCACACAUAUUGAAGGUGCCUUGGAAUAUGGAAUUACAAGUGAUGACAUCUUCUGGCUGAAGGAAUCCCCUGGAAAAACGUUGGUGGUUGGGGCCAGCUAUGUGGCACUGGAGUGUGCUGGCUUCCUCACUGGGAUUGGACUGGACACCACUGUCAUGAUGCGCAGUAUCCCCCUUCGGGGCUUUGACCAGCAAAUGUCUUCUUUGGUCAUGGAGCACAUGGAGUCUCACGGCACCCAAUUCCUGAGGGGUUGCAUCCCCACCUGCAUCAAGAAGCUUCCAGAUGGCCAACUCCAGGUUACCUGGGAGGACCGCACCUCUGGCAAGAAGGACACAGGCAUCUUUGACACUGUCCUGUGGGCCAUAGGUCGAAUUCCAGAAACCAGAAAUCUGAAUCUGAAGGAAGUUGGAGUGAAUAUAAACCCUGAGAAUCAAAAGAUCAUUGUUGAUGCCCAGGAUAUCACCUCUGUCCCCCACAUCUAUGCCAUUGGAGAUGUUGCUGAGGGGCGGCCUGAGCUGACACCCACAGCUAUCAUGGCAGGGAAGCUUCUGGCCCAGCGGCUCUUUGGACAAUCCUCAGACCUGAUGGAUUAUAACAAUGUUCCCACUACUGUCUUCACUCCAUUGGAAUAUGGCUGUGUGGGGUUGUCAGAAGAGGAGGCUGUGGCUCACCAUGGACAAGAGCAUAUUGAGGUUUAUCACGCAUAUUAUAAACCACUAGAGUUCACAGUGGCUGAACGGGAUGCAUCCCAGUGUUACAUAAAGAUGGUGUGCCUGAGGGAGCCCCCACAGCUGGUGCUGGGCCUGCACUUCCUCGGCCCCAACGCUGGUGAAGUUACUCAAGGAUUUGCUCUGGGGAUCAAAUGCGGGGCCUCCUAUGCACAGGUGAUGAGGACAGUAGGCAUCCACCCCACCUGUUCUGAGGAGGUGGUCAAGCUACGUAUCUCCAAGCGCUCAGGCCUGGACCCCACUGUGACUGGCUGCUGAGGUUAAGCCAUCAUCCCUGCAAGGCCAAGGGUACACGACAUGCUGCUCCCCACUGCCAAGGCUCCUAAAAAGCCCAGAUCCAAGUAAACAGGUUUGAGGGACUAGAAGGCGAGAAUUGGAUGAGUCUCUUCCCCUCUUCUGUUUGCAUGGGAGCAGCGUGUAUCUGCACAGAUGGCUGGUGUGCCCUGCAGGGAUGGCUCCAGGGGUAGUCAGCCCCUUUCUCCUCUUCUAC